rnacentral:lncRNA from 1 species
AUAAAUAAAGGAGCUGCUUGUACAAUUAAAAGCUAUGUUGCAUAAUUAUGAAAUAUCAAAAUACGAUAAGGACUUAGUUGCAAUUCUCAAAGAAAUAUCUGAAACGCAUAAUUUUAAGUUAAAAAAGUGUGCAUGAAAUGUGAACUAUUGGACCUUGUCAACAAAUUAAAGCAACGGUUUCUUUGAGAUUCUCAUUCGUGACGCUAUAAACGACAAAUGUAAUAAAGUAUCCAUAAAGGAAACAACUUUAUUCUUCUUCUUCCACCCUUUGAUCUUCUUCUUCAAUUACCUCCCUGAAAAUUAGGGUUUUUGUAAUGUGAUUUCGUAAGAAACCAAAAAAAAAAAAAUGGUCAAUUCCGAAGAAAUUGCAGAUGGGUUUGAGCCAAAACCUGUUUCUCGAUCUUAUUCUGGUGAUUCAUCUCAUGAUCGUUCUCUUUCCGAUCUCAAUCACGCAGCGGAGGACUUGAGUGAUAAGCUUAAGAAUGUGGG